AAGCCCAGAAACCAGCCCCGCAGCUGCUGACAGAGCAGCACAGUUACAGAGUGAGAGCGGAAGCUGGGCGGCUGCCCGCACAGCAGGACAGCCCUCGGGUGCAGCGCCCUGGGCUGGACAGGCCCCAGCGGCUAGGACGGAAACACGGAAACACGCUCGCUUCCCUCCCCGCCAGUGCUCCUCUCCUACACCCGUUCCUGGCUUCUCCCUCGGAACAAGCGAGGUUUGGCAUUUCUGGUAACACCCGGCCCUCACCGACUCAUCUCACCUAGCACGCAACUCCCCUGGAUGUUUGCAUUUUCAAGAUAUAUCACUGAGUAGUGAAGACCCACUUCGGCUCUUGUUAAUGGAAUUGCAAGAGAAUUCAGGAUUGUUCAAAUAGAAACACCAAAGUUGCUGCUUAAAGCCCAUGACUCUACGGCCUGGAUACCAAAAAUUUGAGGCUCCAGUUUGCCACCUCUGCAUUAGACUGCUUGUUUUCCCUGCCCCAGCCCCACAUGGCCUCGGCACCAAUUCCUCCGCCACCCCUCCAAGGACUGCAAGUGGGACUGGCUCCUGCUGCUGAUGCUGACUCACCUUGGAUCAUCACCUUCCCAGCUGCUUAUCUCAGGGAAACUGAGGCCGACCCUGCCAAGGGACUCAGCCACAUUACUCUGGAAGUCUGGAGCAGCGCUGACAAUGGACACCGGAAGUGAAAAGUCCUCAACCCCAGUGUGCUGUCCUCCGCCCAGACCAUGCCUCAGUGGGGAGGAAGUCAGGGAUGUUAAAGGCCAACUCUUCAGCUGGAAGUCCCAGCCAAAAGCAAUGAGGACACAGAGCAUGAUAAGGAAGGUGCAGGUGGGUGCAGGUGGGUGCAGGAUCUGUAGCUCACCAAGUCCUAUUUUUGGUUAGACCGUGUUCACUGGCCCCCCAAGAGUCACCUAAUGGUCUAUGCCUGGCAGGGAGUGCUUCCGCCUCCCAGCAGACCCGAGAGCCCUGCAUUAUAUGCCCAGCUGUCUCCUCAUUAACACCUCCUUCUCCCCAACCCUCACCCCCAUCUGCCUCCUGUCCUGCUCUCUUGGCAAGAGUCCAUUCACACACCACACAAGCUCCAAAAGCAAGGUUGGCAUGUCUCUGUUGAAAAAGUUUGCAAAAACCUAAAGGGGGCCUUGGGUGGGGAGCAUCUAUUGCUUCAACAUGGAACUGAGAACCUGCCAGGAAUUCUUGGGGAAACCAAGGAAAAAUGCAUGGUGAUUUGUUGAGGGCACUGGAAAGUUAAGAAACUUACCCAACGGCACACAGGAGCUAAUCAGAGGAGCCACCAACUCCGUAUUUUGUACAAAUAGCAAAUAGCUUUGUAUACAAAGUCUGUGGCAUUUUCUACAUUACCCUACAGAAAGUUCCUAUAAAAUGAAUGUUCUUAUUUGGGGGAGAACGUUCUGCAAUGUCAGAACUCCCUGCUUUGAGUAAUGGGCAGCUGUAAGACUUCAAGAGCAAAGCAUGUGUGGCUGCACUUAGAAAUUGACAAAGGCCCCCCAGCACCUAUGUGAGCAGUGCUCCCUGCUCAAUUCCAAGGCAAACCCACUCUCCAGGAGCCACAGUCUUGUGAAGAAGAUGCCAGAGGCAUGAACAGAAGUGUGAAAUUUGAAAUUAACGUACAAGAUUGAUCAGAUAAAACAAGUUUCUGGGCAUAAGAUUAUAUAAUCCCUUAGAGUUCAUAAAAAGGAACCAUCAGAUAAGUCAGCCAUCUUAUCAUUUUAACUGAAGUGGCUAAACCAGCUUCAGUUGCAAAAAUAGAAAAAUGUUAGCUUCAUGUUUCUCUGUUAGUAGGCAAGGAAGGGUGCAAUUUGCCUUUCGUAGACUAAGCAGCAACAGUCAGGAUUUUUAAAUUCUCCUCUCAUUUAUAUUUAAAAGAGAGAAAUCCAAGGAAUUCCAAAUUCAUUUACCCCAAGUGGACAGAAUUUGCCUCUUGCUCCAAUAGGCAAUUACAAGGAGACAUGUAAACUAUACAACCAUGAGCUCUCAUGCAGCUGGAAACUGGAGAGAAAAAGGUCCCUCCUUAUUUACUGAUACGAAAGUCACCAUCUUUGUGUAUAAACCCAACUACAAAGCAAGGUUCAAAUGAGUCCCCACCCUCGCCCGCAAAGCUUCAGGAAUACCAAAUAAACCCCUCCAGCCAACUAUGCCAGCCGGGGUAGAAGCUAAGGGAUAAAAAUGCUAACUUGAAUUUGUACCAUGAUGCAUUCCCUCACAACGCCUUCUUCAAAUGCUCUUCUGUCCUAGACCCCUGUGUUCCUGCUACUCAGCCUUUUUUAUCUCCAGCAUCUAACUCUCCUGGGUGGAAGCAGGCAUUCCUCCCGAUGUGCUAGAUCCGUGGGCCCAAAUGGCAGUAAAAGGCAGUGGCCUUGAUUUGGCAACUCCCAAUAAGCAUUGAAAAUUUUCAUACCUUUUUACUCAAAAACAACACUUUAAGGAAUUUACCCAAAUGAAAUAGUCAACAAUGAGUAUAACUAUGUGCCUGCAAAUAUUGUUUAAAAUGAUCUAAAAAUUAAAAACAACUUAAAUCUUCAUAAAUGUUGGUCUUAGGUAAACUAUGAUAUGCCUAUAUGUGGAAGUAAAAAUACUAUAGAAGCAAUAUAAGAAAAGAUUAAUAGAUUGGAUUAUAUAAAAAUACGAGUAUUUUCUAUGGCAAAAAAAUAACAUUUACAAUACCAUAAGAGAAAUGGGUAAAUUAUUUGCAGCGUGUAUGGCAGGCAAGCUAAUUUAUCUGAUAUAAAAAAAACUCUUUAAGAUCAAUGAAAAAAGAACAACCCAGUUUAAAAAGGGCCAAUAACCACAUGAAAAGAUGUUCAACUUCACACAAUUGAAGAAAUUAUAUUAAUAGCUUGAUUCAAUCUUUCGUCUAUAAUAUCAGCAAAGUCCAAUAAUAUCCAGGACUUAGAAAAAAAGUUGUUCUCAUUCAUUGUUGGUGGAAGCAUAAAUUUAAAGGGCAAUUUGAUCAUUUGAAAAUGUUAAAUUCUAAAAUAUUUCCACUGUAGGAAUUUAUCCUUGCAUAUGUACUUACACAAGCACAUAAAAUAUAUACAUAAGGUGUUUACAGAGUGUUGUUUAUAAUAUCAAAAAUGUAGAACAAAAUAACAAAUAAAUUGUGGUACCUGUGUAAUGUACUUUACAAUAGACUACUAUGCUGUUUGGCAGAAUGCAGUAACUCUAUAUAUAGUGAUAUGGAAAACAAUGCCCACAAUACACUGGUCUGUUAAUUGAUAAGUAAAUACAGAAAGCUGAAGAAUAUUAAGUAUAAAGAACUUCGUUUGUGAUAUAUACAUACUUUUUUUCACGUAAGCAUAGAGAAUAUAUUGAAAGAUUUGAAAGAAAUAUAAAUAGUGGCAGCUUCCAAAGGAUAGCAUUUGAGGGGAAGGGAGAUUUUAUACUUUAUUUCCUAUCAUUCUCAACUAUUCAAUUAUUUAUUUUAAUGAUUAUGUAUUAUUCCUGUAAUUUUAGAAAACUAGCUUGACCCAUUAUUAAUCACCUACACUGUUACAGAAACUGUUAGACACUGGGGGUAGAGUGGUGAGUGGGCAGACAUGACCUCUUCUCAAGCAGUAAAUCAUAACAUGAAAUGAAAGGGACCUUUUGCAAUAGGAGCAGGGAGACUAUGGUAAGAGGAAGAAUGCUCGGACCUGAACAUCUGCAAGUCAAGCAGAAAAGGGCUUUACUUGGACGGGAAGGAUUGAGCACAAAUUGGUUAUGGGGGACCAGUAUGAUCAGACCAUUGGUGAGGGGCUGUUGUUCUUUGUGGUCAGCCUAUUUUCAGGAGGGGUGGAAGAGUGGGGACUGUUCCAUAUUCCAUUGCUGGCUCAGGCUGAGCAUGGGUCAAAAUUCAGGGUUCAGGGGUGGAAAGUGGGGUGGAGGAAAAGCCUAACUAAGGUUUGACUAAGACAAGUCGGUGGACAUUAUGUCCCUUUUCGUCAGUGGGAGCAAAGAGUUCAGCUAAUCACUUUUGAAACACAGAAAGGGAAUUCAGAGGGUCUGAGUCUGCCCUUGCAAUAACAGGGGUCUCCCUGCUUCUUAUCUAAGUCACAUUGGGUAGGAUGGUUUUUUGCAGCAGCCAUUCCAGGAACACAAACAAGUCAGCGAUUACCUGACCAUGGCUGUUUCCCAGAAGAGGACUCAGGCAAGGCAUCACCUUGUCAGGGACAACCAUAGCCCCCUCAAACAGCUUUAAUUCUUGGGGACUUAAGAAUUAAGCAAGAAAAUGAGUAAAUAAAUAAAACUUAUAUAACUACCAGCAGAAGCUUCAGAGAGGGAGUGAUUUCUGGCCCCAGAGGAGACCAUAUCUAGUGCACAGUUCGUUUCUUAGCUUUUCAGUUUCAAAAAUCUAUCUGUAUCUGCCCGAAACAGACUGAGAGAUCACUGUAACAGAACAGAUGGCAAUGAAACGGACCCGAUUAUGUACAAAGAUGUAAGAUUCAUUACAGCUCAAUGAGGGAAAGAAAGGAUUACCCAAUAAAUGGUGUUGGGGCAAUUAACUAGCAAUUUGGAGAAACAGUAAUUUUAGAAUCCCACUUUAUGUCAUACACUAAAAUAAAUUCCACCUGAGUGGAAGGGUUAAAUGGUUUUUUUUUUAACAUCAAAAUCUUAGAAAAAUAGGAUUGAAUAUUCUCUAAACCUCUAGAGGAAAGAUAACUGUAUAGGCUUAGAAGCAAUACAAGAAAUGUUUUUUUGAAGAGUAAGAUCUAUAAGUUUAGCUACAAAAAUGUAAAGUAUAAAAGCAAGUAACAAACAAAAAAUACUGCAGCAAAUGUGACAAGGAGGAACUAUACUUAAAAUAAUUAAGCCCUCAUCAGUAUGGAUCAGAAACAAAUUAGGACUUUAAAAGGCAGGACAAAAGAUAAUGCACAAAAAAGUGAUGUAACUCGCAAACCAAGACUUGAGAUAUUCAGUUCCCAGAGAAUAAAAAAUAUAAAUUAAAAUACAAAGUUACCAUUUGUCUCUGCUAAUUAGCAUAAACUGAUAAUAACACCUCUGGGGCUUCUGUUUCUGGUUAGGCUGUAGACAGCCUUAGGUGGUUGUUGACACCCACCUUGUCCUGAGAACUAGCUGAAUAAGCCACAAAAUCACAGUUUUUAAAACCAUCAGGGCUUGGGAUGCAAAGAAACCUAAAUAAAUUAAAUUCUAACAGUGAUAAGCUCUUCCUAGGAUAGAAGAGAUUCAUGGCUGCUUCCAUCUAUGAAGAUGUGGCAGGAAGGGGAAGAAUCUGCCAUAGACUCAGGAAAAGAGAUAACUGGCCAGGCUUGUAACAACAUUCAAUGGCUAUCUGUGAGCUCCUGUGACAGAUCAGAAUUCCAAAGAGCUCUAGCCACAGAGUGAGUCUGCACCCUCUCACUUGCCGGUGCCCUUGUAUAGCUCUUCAUUGUGACCACAGGAAGAGGAGACCCAGGCUGUGGGCAAGCAAGACGACUGAUAGAAUUCCCGCAAGGCCUGCAGGGACUCAGCCAAGUGCCAGAGCUGCUGGAGCCAGGGCAGGACCCACAACAGAGAGAAGGCCCUCUAAGGGAUACAGGCACUCCAGCCCAAGCAGCACGGGGCCCUCCUCAGACCUGGAGCAGAGGCAGAGGGAGGUCCCCCAGGUUGCAGAAACCUGGGGGCUGACCCUGAACCCAAAGCUGGCACCUGGCUGCCAAGAAGGAGAGAAACCGCCUAUGCUAUGUAUGUUCAGAAAGUUGGCAGAAAGGCCGGGAGGCAUAAAAAUAUCUCAUAUCAGUAGUGCUCAGAGCCCAAGCCCUGAUGAAGAGUCUUGACUUCAUCCUCAAAACGUCUGAAGCCAGUGGUGAACUGGACCAAACUAGAGCCGUAAGAAUUCCAUGCCCCGCUCAAACAUAGCUCUAAUUGUCUCAGGCCUUUGCACUAGCUGUCUAAAAGAAGGGAUGUAACCUUUUCUGUGAGUGAAUACUGUUUAUUUCAAUCUGCUGGUUUUUUACACACAACGUCUUAUAUAAAUAAAGAAUUAAGAGACUAAGAUACCAAGCAAAUGUGAUAGGGUCAAGAGAUUAGAGUAAAUGGAAGAAGACCCAGAGAUGGCUUAGAUGUUAGAUUAUCUAACAGUGACUGUAACAUAAACAGAACGAGUCUGUAUAAACAAAUGGGGGCUUUGGGCAGAAAGAUGGAGACUAUAAAAAAUAGCCAAAUGGGCGUGUGAUUAACUCUUUAAAAAACCAUUAUUUUGCCUAAAACAAAAAUCAUAACAAUGAAUUAUAGAGUUUAGAGCAUAUGUAGUUAUAGAGCAUAACAAUGAAUUACAGAGUUUAGAGCAUAUAUAGCAGGAAAAUCUAUGACAAUAGGAGCAUAGAGGAUGGGAAUGAAGUAAAUGUAUUAAUAAUGCUACAGAGGUCUUACGGUGUUAGUGAAAUAGCAUAUUGUUAUUUGAAAGUAUAUAUUGGUAAAUAAAUGAUUCAUAGAGAACUCACUAAAAAUAACAAAAAUAGGUGUAGUGAAAAAGUCACUAGAGAUCAAAGGAUAAUUAGAAAUAUUUAAUUCACGUAAAAGGAUGCAGAAAAGGAGGAAUCGAGGAAAAAAUGGAUGGGACAAAUAGAAAACAAAUAGCAAGAUGAUAAACCCAAACCCAAUCCUAUCAAUAAUUACAUUAAGCAUAAAUUACUAACUGCUCUAAUUUAAAAGCAGAGAUUGUCAGGCUGUAUGAGAAAUCAAGCCUGAACUAUAGCCAUUUAUAAGAAAUGUCAUUUCAUAAUGAUAGAAGGCAAAGUCAACAGGGUAACAAUCAUGAAUGUCUAUACACCUAAUAAUGAACUAUCAACAUACAUGAAGCAAAAAAUGACAGGACUAAAGGGAAAAACAGAAAUCCACAUCUGGGUUGGGAUUUUUAACAUCUCUCUCAGUAAUUUGUAGGAUAAGUACACAAAAAUAUCAGUAAGUAGAUUUGAAAAACAAUUUGAUAUUUACAGAAUAAACAUUUCAGAAAGCUUCUUUUCACAUGCACAUUAAACAGACACACAAAUAGACCAUCUAUGCUAGGCCCCAAAAUAACACUAAAAUACACUUCAAGGGACUGAAAUCAUAUAAAGUAUGUUCCUGGACCACAAUAAAUAUUAAAUUUAAAACAAGUAACACUAAGAUAUUUACAAAAUCUCCAAAUAUUUUGUAGUUGAGUAACAAAAACUAAAAAAGACAUGCAAUAAUAAAAGAUCACAGGAAAAUUAGAUACGUAUUUUGAGCUGAAUGGUAAUAAAAACACAAAACAUCAAAACAUGUGAUCGGUAGUUAACACUAUGCUUAGACAGAAAUUUACAACUUUCAAUACUUGUAUUAGAAAAUAAGAAAUGUAUGAAAUCACUAAUAUAAGCUUCUACAUGAGAAUCCUGAUGAAGAACAAAAUAUAUACAAAGUAGAAAAGAUUAAAUAAUGAAAAUAAGAGUGGAAAUCAAGGAACAAAAAAAAUGAAUAAAUAGAAAGAAUUAAGUUCUAAUCAGAUUCUUUGAAAAGAUUAAUAAAGCUGAUGAACCUCUGGCAAAUCUGAUCAAGCCAAAAAAAAAGAGAGAACACAGAUUAUCAGGAAUAAAAUAAGUGCUAUCACGACAGGUAUUUUCAAAAUUAAAAGGAAAAUGGGAAUAUUAUAAACACUUUAAUCUCAGUAAAUUUGACAACUGAUGCGAAAGGGAUUGUCCCUUGAAAAAACACAAUUUUUCAAAACUGACGCAAGUCAAAAUAAAAAAUCUAAAUCUACGGAUGCCUUUUUCUAUUUGGAAGGAGUGCUAAAGAAGGACGGUAUUAAUUCUUUUUUAAAUGGUUGGUAGAAUUCACCUAUGAGGCCAUCUGGUUUUAGGUAUAAUAGCUCAAAAUUUUAAACAACUCAAAUGUUCAUUAACUAGAGAAUGGACAGAAAAACUGUCAUAAUUCCAUAGAAAUCUAUGCAGCCAUAGAAAUGAAUGAACCACUAAUACAUACAAAUUCAUGAUGGAUCUCAAAAUCAUUGUGUUGGAAACAAUGAAAGCUAGACAAAAAGGACAAUUUCUGUUAAUUCCAUUUAUAUGAAGUCCAGGAACAGGCAAAAGAAUUUUUGUGGGUGAUGAAGAUAUUCUAUCUUUAUUUUGGGUGGUGGUCUGAAAGGUUAUGUAACUGUUAAAAUUCCUCAGUCUCAAUUCUCAAAAUAAGGUAAUUUGAUUUCAUACAACUUAUACCUCAAUUUUUAAAAGUUUAACAGUAAUAUCUUUGGCUGAUAAGGAUGUACUGAAACAAAUAGUCCCAUAAUUGGACAUUAAUUUUGGAAAGCAUUUUGGCAAUAUUAAUCAAGAGUUAUAAAACGUCCAAACAUUUAACUCAUAAUUUAUUUAGGCAAAUCUACUCUUUUAUAAUUCAAAAUUAUAGAAGGAACAUGCAUAAAAAUAUUAACAGUAUUUUGUAAUAGUGUAAACUGAAGCAAUUCAAAAUGCAACAUUGGAUAACAAGUAAAGAAUGUGCAAUAAAUAUACUUAACAAAAUAUAUUUUGGUCAUUGAUAUUAUAGUUCUCAUGACUAUAUAACAAGCUGAUGACAUAUUUAAGCUACAAUCCUUUACGCCUUGUAAAAAUAUAGAUAGGAAAAAACACAAUGAUAAAUUGUUCUUCAGGGAAUAUUUUCUUAAUUUUCAGCUUAGGUAUCUGAAUUUUUAUAUUGUCCUUUCCUUUAACAUUUUGUUCAAUUCUUUUUAAAACUUUUUCUUUUUUCUUGAUAUUUUUGCAAUAUUGAAUUUCAAGAACACAGUCUUUUUCUCCAAUUAUUCACAUAUCAUUUAUCUCCUUCCAUCAUUUUCUUUAUUUAAAUUGGAUUUUUAUUGCACAAGAAAUCCAUGGUUAUAUUUCCAUAAUUUUUUCCUAUAUAUAAAAAGAUCUGUUUCACCUAAUCGUUUUCAAUUUCCAGAAAAUAACUUUUUAACUGGACUUUAUGAAUAAAACUAAUGGGAUAGUUCUUUUCAAUGACUCAAAUGCUCAUGCCUACCAGAAUUAGAUAUGCAGCCAAAUAUUAUGUCAUUAAUGUAAAACAUUAAAUAUAUUGACUUUAAAAACAACAACAUUUUAAGAGUGGCUAGUCUCUAGGUAGUGACAUAAGGUAAAAAUUCUUUUUCCUUGUCUGAUUUUCCUAUAGUGAACAUGUAUGACUUUUGUGAUAAAAAGAAACAACAGACUUAAAUCUCAAUUCAGGCUCUAUCCCUCCUCAAGCCACGAACUCAAGCCUGACCCAAGACAGGGCCCAGGAAUGCAGGGUCCCCAGGCCAGAGGCUUCCCCAUUAGGCACACAUCUUGCCAUUGCUCUUCUGGCACCUUGACCUUGCACUUCCUCUUUCUGUGCUACUCUCUUGAACUUAAUAACCUGACACUCUGGGGCUUCCUCUUCUGGCCCUCAGCCUUGCACCUACCAGUCCCACUGUCCUUAUACCCCCCCAUCCCCUUAAGUGCAGGAGGCAGGGCCCCUCAAUCUGGUCUCUUCUGGUCCUGGGCUUCUUGGUGUCACACAGGCAGCUAGAGCAAUAGCUACACCGACCUUUCCUCCCCAGAUCCCCAGCAAGGGAGCAUGCUAUGGAAUGCCUGUGAAACAUCAUCAUCUCCCCGUCUCCCAGUAGAAGCGAAUAGAGUUAGAGGAGGCUGUCGAGGGUGGGAUGGUAGCAGGCGCCUCCCUGGAGAGCCCACUCUAGCCUUCCUCGCCUGUCUGUGUCUCCUCCUCUCAGCUUAGAUCCUCUCUCAGGAGCCUGGCCAAGCCUGGUGAAGGGAAGCUAAAGAGGUGACUACAAAUGGAAAUGAACGUCCUGCUGAAAAGAAUUCAGAGUGAGUUCAUCAGGGACACCAUGGCCAGCGGGAGAGAUGGAUCACCAGUGUUGUUCCUGGGAGACCAGAAGUGUCCUAGAUAGGAGCUGUCCCACCUCCCUAGAUCUCAGAGUGAAGAAAUGUGCAGCCAAUCCACAAUGGACACAUAGCAUGAAUAGAGCCGACGCUGGGAGCUGCCAUCCUGAGGGGCCUCUAAGAGGCCCUCCUGCCCAGCGUAUCAGGCGGACACGGGGACUCCUGCUGCUCACUUACUUUAUGGUGGGGCAGUGUUGAGAAAAGCAUCGAGGAGCAAUCCUGGAUUGCUUUUCUGAGAAGCCCCUGGGCAUGGCACAACAGAAGCAAGUCUGGCUUUACUCAGAGGUGAAGCAGGCUGUGCCCUGAAUCCCCAGAAGUCUGUGAAUGGAGCCUAUACCCAUUCAUGGCUUUGCCACCCUCAAUGGCUGCCAACUGCUCCAGCUUCUCCCCCAUCACUGACCUCCACCUACAUGGAAACAAUGCCAGCCUCCUGCUUCAGACUCCCCCCUGUUUCUAGGAAUCACACAAUGUCUCCAGCCAAGACUGCUCCCCCCUUGGCCCUUCUUCAGCCCCUGAAUUCCUCCUGCACACCUUUAGACUCAGCUCAGCUGUUAUCUCCUCUGUGGAGCCUUUCUAAAUGCCUCUAAUUGAUUUGGGGCAUCCUUGUUUUCUUAGUAUUCAUUAUCCAAAUACAUACAGAGAGGCAAAAAUCACCGUAUCUGAAAACAUUCUCUAAUAAAUGGCCACUCACAGUAAAUACUCAACAACUAUUUAUUGAGUGUCCAUUAUGCACCAGGCACUGAUAUGUACACUUGGGACACAGCAAUGAACAGACAAAUAUCCCCAUCCUGUAGGAUUUACAUUCCAGCAAGGGUUGGGGGAGUUGUCGAUAUCAGUAUAUAAUAAAUACAAUAGCAAUAACUUAAAUGACAUGUUACAGAUUGAUAAGCGUGUGCAAGAAGGAAAAAGUAGAGAAGGGUAAAGAGGAAAGAGAAUAUUGGGGAUGACAGAAGGGAGGGGAGGAACAGGGUUAAAUGGGUCUCAUCCUGCAGGUGACUUUCAACCACAGGUCAAAAGACAGAAAGGAAUGUUCACGCAGACUUCUGGAGGAAAAAUAUUCCUACAAACUGUGACCCCAGCCAAAUCCAACCUUCUACUUGUUUUCAGAUGACCUGCCAGCUAAGAAUACUUAUUAGAUUUUUAAAGAGUUGGAAAAAAUCAAAAGAAGAUUAAUAUUUCAUGACACAUGAAAUUCAAGUGUCAGUGUCCAUAAAGUUGUAUUGGGACACAGCCACCCUCACUUGUUUAUGUAUUGUCUGUGGCUGCUUUUGCGCCACAACAGCAAAGCUGAGUAGCCGUGACCCUCAAGGCUUAAAAUAUUUACUAUUGGCCCCUUGCAGAAAAAGCACUGAGCUACAGGAAAGGCCCCUGGGCAGGAGCAGGAAUGGGUAGCAGACAAGUGUGGCUGGAGUGAGCAGGACCCUGACCAGGGAGGAGGAGGGCACAGUGGAAACAGGCUGGGAAGGAGUGCCGAUCGUGUAAGAUCUUCAGGCCAUUGGUCUGAACUCAAGCAAUAGAAGCCACUGCUGGAUUCUGAUUAAAAGGAUCACUUGGUUUUAGAGAAUGGCUUCAGCAAUUCUACUGAGGAUAGACUGUUCUGUGGGUGGUUCUUGCCAUUAUCUAGGCACUAAAGGAUAAUGGCUCAGACUAGGGUGGAGGUACUGAGUCUAGGUGACAAGAGGUGGUCCAAUUCUGAAUAUGUUUUGGACAAAGAGCCAACAGGAUUUCUUGGUGGACUGGACAUGGGACAUGAGAGAGAGAUCCAGAAGGACUCAAAGCUUGGCAGGAACACUUAGAAGGAGGGAAAAUAUCACAGGUGCUGCUUAGCAAUGCUGGGUCUGAAACAUCUACUAGACAUGCCACUGAUGAUGCCGAGUGUCAGUUGGGUUUAUGAGUCUGUAUUCAGAAGAGAGGUCAGGAGUUAUAAAUAGAUAUGUGGCAUAUAAAAUUGUGGGACUGGAUGAGAUCACCAAAGAAGUGCCCUCAGAAAAGAAGAUGACCAAGGACUGAGCCUCGGACAGGCAGCCUUAGGGACUCAGACAAGAAAGGAAGGAAGCAUCGGAGGACACUAAUGGGAGGGACCAACAAAGCAGGGAGAAAGGAGGCUAUAGCGGAAGCCGGCAGAGAGGCUGUGCUGGGGUAGAAGGGGAGAGCGCCCUGUCGAAUGCUGCCCCUCUGUGAGCAAGAUGAGGGCUAAAAUGGUCACUGAUGUAGCAACAUGGAGAGCUUAGGUGGGCUUUACAAGAGCAGGCUUGGUGGAGAGACCAGGGCGAGAGCUAAUGAAGUGAUUUUGAGAGAGUGGGAAAGAGAAAUUGGAAGACAGUGCAUAUAGACAACACUUUCCAGGAGGUUUGUUGCAAAGGGAAGCAAAGAGAUGGGACAUCAGCUGGAGAGGAAGGGCAUAGUGUUAAGAAUCAUCUAACAGAGAGCAAACACUGAUGCCACGGGGAGGGGGAGUCUUUGCCAGAGCAGGGGAGGCUGGACAGGAGCAUUGCACAUGUAGACAAGCCAUGGAAAGCCCUCACUCCCCACGGGACUCUAGCACCCACCUGUACCACCAUGUUAGGACCCUUGUCACUUUGUUCAGACUUACUCAUUCAUCCUGUGGACUGUCACUGAAUGUCCCCCUGACACCUGGUUUGGUUCUAGGCACUGUGUAUAUACGGUGUGGGCAAGUCUGAUGACCUCUGUUCUGUUGUAGGUUCUAUGCCCUAUAUGAAGGGUGGAGGAUGCUAGUGUGGGUAACUAAAAAUCCUGAGUUCAACUGACUCAAAAGAUGAAACCUUUUAAUAUCUCCUGUGAUGAAAGUCUAGAUAAAUGUUCACAGCCUUGCCAUUAUUAUAGCCUUAAUCAAAAUGUAUCACCAUUGUCUGCUUACCAUCCCCUACACUGACAGCAAUUUUCUUUAAAGGCGCAGUAUAUAUAACUCUAACACUUUGAACAGUUUCAGACACAGGGAAGGAACUUUAAAAAUGUUUGCUGAAUGAAUACAUAAAACCUGAAAGAUGGGGAGAAAUCGUCUUUUAUGAUUCCUCCAUAAUAUUCCCCCCUGAGUUACCAAGCUAUACUUUUCAAAAACAAACAUCCUUGUGAUGUCUAACACCGCAGUGCAGACAGUUAAUCACACUGAAGUACGAACAGUUUCCUUGGGUACUUUUCUUUUUAACAACCAGCUACGAUCAUCUGUCCCUUAUCAACUGGAUUUUUCCAUGGACUGGGAUGAAGUGGAGAUCUGGGAGGGAUAAUGUGGAAACUAAAGCACUACUAGGUAACAUAAGACUAGAUAGGCCAGUGGUUUAUCUUGAUGACAUGAAUCUCCCUCUUUUGAACCCAAAGGGAUUUCUAUAAUAGACCACCCAGAAAGCCCGAAGUUUCAUCAUACUAUAAGCAGUCUCCCAACACCUGACUCGGCUAUCACUUCCUUCUUGGUUCCUAUAACAUAACCCCCAAACCUCUCCAAAUGUCUUCCUUUAAGUAUCGUGUCAAGAUCAUCCUGAUGGGAAUGGUCACCAUAAUACAGGAAUAAAAUGAAUAGAGGGAAUAAAAAUGAAUAAUGAAGGAAAGAAUGGUGAAAAUUUCUAUGGCAAUGCCCUUGAGUAGGAGAGAAGGGAUGGGAGCAAGAGCCCAAGUGGGAAGGCUGUUCUAAGGCCGAAGCAGGGCCCACUCAUCCACAGUUGCAGGGAGAAGGCAGCAGUGCGGGUAGGUGGGUCCCUACGCCGGCGGGAACUUCUGCAAGGUCUUUGCCGACAGCGUUCAUUCUCUCAGUAAAAUAGGAAGAAAGAUCAUCAAUGGGAAGUGAAGGAGGGAUGGGGAAGAGAGGGUUGAGAAGAGAGAAGGAAACAGAAUGGCCAUCUAGUAGAAGGGAGACAGAUGGACCACGGAAGGACAGGGUAACUGCUGGGCAAUGAUGAGGCUCCAUGUGUGCUUAGUGAUCAAAUAUUUAAAGCAACCUUGAAGAUUAGGAGUUUUAGAUUAGUGAUCUUGAAGGUGUGGCAGAUCCAGGUGAUGCCAAUAUCCACACUGAACUUGUGGGAAUGGGUGGAUCUAGAAUGAAGGUCACCUGAUAUUAUGGGACUGAUUCCCGGUUCAUCCCUUAUUUACCAUGUGCACAGUGCCUGUGCUGGGUACUUGUCACAGAAUAGGUGCUCAGUGAAUAUUUGACUGAACACAAACAUUUUAUAAAUUACAAAAUAUCAAAUCUAUUAUAUUCGGCUGUCUCCUUCUCCACACAUGUCCUGGUUCUUAAUCUUCUCCACUGACAUUUUCUUUUUUUUUUAUUUAAUUGAAGAAUAGUUGACAUACAAUAUCCACCCACUCUUAAAAGUAACUCACAAGUUCAACUUCACAUUUAAAAUACACAUGCAUUUAUGGAUGAUAACACUCGUUUCUCAAAGAAGCCCAGAGACCUGGAUUAUGUGUGAAGUUUGGAAAAGAGGUUAUUUAUUCAUGCUGGUCACUUCUUUUAUAACAUAAAACUUUUUAUAGGACAUUUAUUGAUUAAAGCAUGUUCACAACUAUUAUCUCCUUUUGUCCUCAUAAUAAUCCCGAGAGGCAGGUGCAGUGACCUCAUCACCCCCCUUUCACAGGCAAAGGAAGUGGGCACUGCUCUUCCUGGGACACACGGCCAGUGAGCAAAGCAGGCAUGAAACCGGCAGUGCCUGGCUGCCACCCUGGCUGCAUGGGCUGUUGACUUUGGAGGCCUCUGUGCUUUGGCUGUUUCGUACAACCUCACUGCCCUUUACAUUUCUGAUCUCCCUCUAUUACCUGCCACACAAUCUCUUUUUCUCCUCUUUCCAGCUUCCCUCCCAGUGAUGUCUCAGGCCUGGGAAUGGGGGUUGGAAAAUGACCACAUCUCACUCCAGAUCACAGGGACCAGGUUGAAGACAAAUUGGCAGGACAAGUAUCCAUGUGCCAAUCCAAACACAGCUGAUCAUAACUAUGGUUCUUUAAAAGAGGCAGAGCUUCUUGGCUUGCACCCUGGGGAGCCUCGCCCCACCUCCCUGGCCCAAUCCAAGUGUGUGGGUGGUUCCGUCCAUCCCUUUCCUGGAAUCACAUUCUAAAUACUUCUGACCAAUCACUGAGUGGGAGCACUGUUCUUACAUCAUUUUUACACAUGUGAAACAGGUAAGUAGGGAUGUUAUAACUGGCCAAGGUCACACAGUCAGUAACUGGCAGGUAAGACUGGCCCCCAGGUCUGAAUCCAAAGUCCUUGCCUUAACUGCUAUUAUACAGUCAGUUUCUUGCUGAAGAGCAGAACAGGAGCGAUUUCAGUUAAAAAAUUCUCAUUAAUUAUCAUCUCCUCCCCUCACAGAAAUCACUGCAGAGCCAGUUUUCUCUAAGGUGACAUCUCAAUCCAGCCUUGACAAGAGAGAAGAUUUGCAUAUGAAUGGCAGGUCCAGGUCCUGGUGGCAAGGCUAACGCCUGCCCUUCAGAGGGAAGCGGGAGGAGGGAGGUGAGGGACCGCGACCUAACCUAAGUCACAGGGGCCAGGUGACUGCGACCCAGGUGCUUUGUCCAUGGUGAGGGAGGUGGGAACCAGGACGGGAAUCCCUGAGGGGAGGACGCCAGAUUUCCUCAAACAUGUAGUACUCGCUAGCCCCCUGUAGUCAUUACCCACUGCUAGCAGUCCCAGCUGGGCUCCUGGUCAUGGCUGUCCUGACAUUUCUCUUCCUGUAACUGGUUGGGUCAUGGCAUGAUAGCUACCUGGAUCAUUCUUCUCAAAAUAGGCUAUAAUUCAAAAAGGAACUGUCCAAGCGCAGGGCCCAGAAAGAAUAGGAUGACGAAGGAGAAGUAAGUGUCAUUGGCAGGACUGUGCAGGACCCCAUGGGGUGCAAUGAGGCAGUUCUAGGCUCUCCCGGAGAGUCAAUGCAGGGAGGAAAAGGGCUGCUGAAAUCAAAUUGUGUUUACUUUCCUUCAAUACAUAUUUCCAUGGGGAAAAAAAAUCACAUCAUCUUUUAAAUAAACACAUGCAUUUGACUCCUUUUCCAAUUAAACUUGAUCCACAUGAGCUCCAACUGUAUUUUAUUUUCCGCCAUCUUCUGUAUUUCUGAAUACUUCUGCAAUCAGCCAUUGAUAACGGUGGCAGAGAGGAAACUAAACUUUCAUGUG